AUUCUGUGAUGUGGGCAGUCUAGGAUGUACUCCUAUAGACAUUCCCAUGCUUCGAGAAUGGUCCCAUCUGACUUCUGCUGAAAGCUCGAAAUUCUGGUCCUCAGGGC
rnacentral:snoRNA from 1 species